rnacentral:rRNA from 1 species
UACGAAGGGGGCUAGCGUUGCUCGGAAUCACUGGGCGUAAAGGGUGCGUAGGCGGGAUCUUAAGUCAGAGGUGAAAGCCUGGAGCUCAACUCCAGAACUGCCUUUGAUACUGGGAUUCUUGAGUUCGGGAGAGGUGAGCGGGACUGCGAGUGUAGAGGUGAAAUUCGUAGAUAUUCGCAAGAACACCAGUGGCGAAGGCGGCUCACUGGCCCGAUACUGACGCUGAGGCACGAAAGCGUGGGUAGCAAACAGG